rnacentral:rRNA from 1 species
AGCUCCAAUAGCAUAUAUUACAGUUGUUGCAGUUAAAAAGCUCGUAGUUGGAUUUCUUGCUGGGUAUGUGGGUCCACUCUUACGAGUGUGCACCAUACAUGUCUGGCCAUCCUUUGGGAGAGCCACAGUGGCAUUAAGUUGUUGUUGUGGGGAUCCCAAUCCUUUACUGUGAAGAAAUUAGAGUGUUCAAAGCAGGCUUACGCCGUUGAAUAUAUAUUAGCAUGGAAUAAUAACAUAGGACUAUUGUACUAUUUUUUUGGUUUGCGCACAAUAGUAAUGAUUAACAGGGACAUUUGGGGGUAUUUGUAUUCCAUUGUCAGAGGUGAAGUUCUUGGAUUUCUGGAAGACAAACUACUGCGAAAGCAUUUACCAAAGAUGUUUUCA